CAGAAUCUUUGCUGCCUAGGGUCUGCAGGGCUAUCCCCCACAGAGGAAGGCAUUUUUCCUAGCAGGGAGUGAGAUCUCUUCACUUUAGGGUUGGGUGUGCAAAGCGAGCAGGGGAAAGAUUCAGAACCUCAGGGGCUGGCACCCAGCACUGUGCUAUCCUAGGAAGAAACAGCUAAAUCCCAAUGAAAGUGUCUCUGCUCACCACCUCCCCUGCUCCUGCCCUGGCCUGGGCUUGGGGGGACCCAGAGAGACGUCCAUAGGGUUCUGCCCUCCUGGAUUCUCUGGCUCAGACGAUGGCCCCAUCAUAUACUCCUGCAGCCAAGGCAGAAAUCCAGGCAUCAGCCCGGA
rnacentral:lncRNA from 1 species